rnacentral:rRNA from 1 species
GUCGCGUGAGUGAUGAAGGCCUUCGGGUUGUAAAGCUCUGUUGAGGGGGAAGAUAGUGACGGUACCCUUUAAGAAAGCCCCGGCUAACUACGUGCCAGCAGCCGCGGUAAGACGUAGGGGGCGAGCGUUGUCCGGAAUUACUGGGCGUAAAGGGCGUGUAGGCGGCUGGAAAAGUCAGUUGUGAAAUCCCCCGGCUCAACUGGGGGCUUGCAGUUGAAACUUUUCAGCUUGAGUGCAGGAGAGGAAGGUGGAAUUCCCAGUGUAGCGGUGAAAUGCGUAGAUAUUGGGAGGAACACCGGUGGCGAAGGCGGCCUUCUGGCCUGUAACUGACGCUGAGGCGCGAAAGCUAGGGGAGCGAACAGGAUUAGAUACCCUGGUAGUCCUAGCUGUAAACGCUGGGUACUAGGUGUAGGGGGUUUAGAUGCCUUCUGUGCCGUAGUUAACGCAUUAAGUACCCCGCCUGGGGAGUACGAUCGCAAGGUUGAAACUCAAAGGAAUU